UGAAACAUGCUUGUACUUGGCUUUGUGUAUUGUGUGUGUGAGAGUCAUUUUAGUGAGGAUUCAGCAUCCUCCUGGUGCUGCAGCAGCCCCAGCAGCAGCAGCAGCAGCAGCAGCCCUCCCCCUCUGCAGCCUCUCCAGCAGAAUGCCCGACAUGCAAACGGAAGCAGGCGCUACCAUUUUGAAAUACAGCACCGCCUAGCGCCAUGGACAAGAGCCAUACAGUGAAGCUCUUUGUGGGCAACCUGGCGUUGGACACCACCCAGGAGGAGCUGUCAGCCAUCUUCGAACCCUACGGCCAGGUGGUCAGCUGCAGCGUGCUGCGACAGUUCGCCUUCGUACACCUGCAGGGCGAGGGUGCUGCCGAGCGUGCCAUCCGGGAGCUCAAUGGACGGGAGUUUCGUGGACGGAAUUUGGUGGUGGAGGAGUCGAGGGGAAGGCCGUUGCACUCCACCAAGGUGUUUGUGGGUAAUCUGAGUGGGAUGUGCACCACCGAGGAUCUACAGCAGCUGUUUCAAACAUUUGGAAAAGUUCUUGAGUGCGAUAAAGUCAAAGCCAGGCAUUCCUCUUCCGCAGGCUAUGCCUUUGUCCACAUGGAAAACAAGGAAGACGCGCUCCAGGCCAUCGAGGCCCUGCAUGGUACCUCGUUUAAGGGCCGUCCCCUGUCUGUAGAGCUGUCCAAAGUCCAGCCCAGCAAGCAGGCACCUACAGGAAAAAUCCCCUGUGUUAACUGUGGAAAGCAGGGUCACUAUGCUGGAGAAUGUCCUGUCGGGAAGCCUUCUCUGGAACAGUACCAGAGUCAGGCAGCAGUCCUUGCUGCUGCUGCAGCUGCAGCCGCCGGCCUGCCGCUACAGGUCCAACAAAGUGUGCACAAUUCAGUCUACAACACCUCCACCUUUGAUCCCACGUAUGCAGCUCUCACUGGGAUCACCACGGGCACACGCACUGAUGGAAACCCAGUGAAUCCAGCAGUCUAUGGUGCCCUUGCCAGCCAGGUGUAUGGUGCCAAUGUUGCCAGCCAGCUUUAUGGAACGGUGGCCAAUCAGGCAGCUCUCACAUCAGGCGCCACCCAAAUGUACAGCUCAAUGACCCCCAACAUCUACGGCCAGAUGGCUGCAACUCCUGCGGCUGCUGCUGCGGCUGCCGCCGCAGCUGCAUACUCACCUCAAGUUUACACCCCAACUGUGGCCAACUCCCAUGUCUACCUGACUGCUGCUCAUGGGUUAGAAAUGCCAACAGCAGCGGCUGCGGUCAACCCCGCCUACACUGUAUCUCCAGCAAUUUAUGGUGCCGCCACACCAGCGUAUGCUCAUAUAAGCGCCAUGGGAGCAGCGGACCCUACCACAGCCAUCUUUGAGGCAGCCAGACAGGCACAUUACUUUGCCCAGGGCCAGCAGGUUGUGGCUGACCAGCAGACGGUGGCUGCAGCUGCAGCAGCAGCUGUGGUAAAGUCUGAGAGGGACCGGAGUCCCCUUCGGAGGUCAGUACCUCUGCUACCAGACCCAGUGAUGAAGCCGUUCAUGUACCAGAGAGCCAAGCCGCGCCGACCCCUGCUCCCUACACCAGCUGGCCGAGCGGCAGAAGAGGCAGUGGAGGCUGCAGAGGACCCCAUGGCCAGGUACUAUGCGGAGUACUACCAGCAGCUGCAGCAGUACCCCCAGUUCCAGUAUGCCUACCCACCACCGAGCGCAGUGACAGCCAUCCCUGGCAUGCCAGGAGUGCCAGCCGUGUCAGCAGUCCCUACAGUCUCCGCGAUGUCCGCCCAGUCAGUCGCUGCGCUGGAUGCCCUCAGGCCAGUGGUCCCCACCGCUGCGGCAGUGGCAGCCGCCAUGGCUGCACCAAGGGUGUAUGAGCCGCCGUUGCCGCCGCCCACGCGCAAGGAGGCCAUCCUCCGCCGCCCCGAACUCUCCCUUCACACGCCUGAGCCCCCCUUCCGAUAGUCGCACACAACUCUCUGCCCCCACCCCUCCCUCUUUGCCCUGAACCCCAUCUCCUCUUCCACCCCAAACUUGACCACCUUACAGCAGCUGUAUGUGUGUGUAUGUGAAUGUGUGUUUGGUGGGUGGGGUUUGAAACUGGGGGGGGGGGCCUAUUUGGUUUAUUAACCUGCUUUACGAGGGACUUGGUCAGCAUAACCUUGGUCCUGUUUGCACACACACACACACAGUGCAGCCAUGAAAGGGAGGCUCUCAUCUGUCAUGUGGGCAUUCUUUGUGCUACUCAGUUUUACUUUUUUAUCGUGCCAGUCUCACACUUGUGCCAGUAUUAGACCGACCCAGUCGGUCGUUUCAUAUGCCUUUAUUUCCGCAACCCAGUUAUGAUUUUCUACGGCCAAACCUACGAUAAAAGACAUUGGUUUUUAUCAGCCAUCCUCCUUAGGCCUAGAUGAUCAGUUAGGGCAGCUAAUUUGAAACCUUUUUUGCCUUAUGUUGGAGAGUUUGUAAUGUAACCAGAUGGGAAGUCAGAUAAUCACAUAUUGUGUACAGGCUGCACUGCAUUGUGUCCAACAGAACCAAGGUUUUUGUGGGGGGAGGGGUGUUUGUCUUGAAUGGAUGUAGUAAGUGUGAAAGAGAGAGAUAUGUGCGGGCUCCUGACCUUGCAGCACACAAACGCAGCAGCUUAGACUGCGCUUUGCAGAAAACAAACAAACAAAAAAAACGUAAAGCACACAUAAUACGUACUGUAAUGUAUGUUUGGAUCUCUCCUUGACCCCUUUUCCCCCACCUGUACUCUAACUUCAACACUGGAAGACACUGCCUCACCUCUCAUUCUCUCUCUAACUACAGCUGCCUACCUCUGACAGUAAAUUUCAGCGUAGAGUCUAUUCUAUUCCACACUUUUCACCCAGUCAGCAGUUUAGUUCCUGCUCCUCGUAAAGGCACAGGGUCAGCAGUUGAGGAAGGGAGGAGCCAGAUUUCGGUGACAAUGACUUUUGUAGAUACUCUGUAUGAAGUCCUCCUACAUAUCCAGAGGCCUUUUUUAAAAAUAGUGUAUGUGUUUUGUUUGUUUUAGUGUAUUUACAUGUGAUACGAGUCAGCCUGGGGUGUAAUGAGUUGUAAAUGGAUAAAAAAUAAACCCAUGUGUGACUACUGAAUGAGCUGUUUACAAAGGAUCUUUACACUGCAUCCUAUUAGGAAACAUGAAAUGUGACAAGCUCAAUAAUGUGCCUAUAAGCUUUGAGUGAAGUGCAUUAAGUGGAGGGAUCUCCCAUUUUAAGUGCUUUUUAAUCAUUUCAAGGGGGGUGGGGGGGUGACAGGAGCCCUUCGGAGCUUUGUAUCCAGAAGGCUACGAGCGGUGAAGCUUUCUCGUGGACUUGCACUCCUGUAUUAGAUUAGUUUCUUAUCGUAGGGUUUUUAAAAAGCCACAAACUGAGCCUCACAGGUUCAUAAUUAGCCGCUGGUUUAAAGCAGGAACGACAGUGAUAGCACCAAUGAAGUGAGAGAUGGGGAAGUGUCUUCCAGUUGCCCCGACUGUCCUACUUUUUUUUCUCCAAAUACCAGACCUGCUUCAGAUUGUAAUUGCAAAGAAAUUUUGGUGUCUGUUUUGAUCCGGUUGUUGGAUCCGGUAUAGGUGGGGUUCGCUGCAGCGGGAUAACAAAACUUGUAAGGACAGGUACCUUGACAUUCACAAGCUUGUCCCGAGUGGCAAACUCCACCCAUUCGGUUCUACAGUCACUUUAAGGUUCUGUAUGUAACUCUCAAAAAUUCUUGUUUUUAGUGUAACCUCAAUCUGAGGCUUGAAGUGAACUGCAGUCCUCCAUAGCCGCGAGCGAGCACCUGCAUCGGCCACAAAAGUUCGACCAUGAUUGACUGGCAUCUUAAAGUAGUGUUACGAUCUGUAUGUUCCCCUAUUUCAUUUGGACCAUUGGCUCCAUAAUACUAACUAGCUUGUUAGCCGUUUGCAAAAUACUUCAUCAGCUGACACUGCAAAAGCAACCAUUGGCAGAUCCAGGCAGCGUAGCUUAACAGCUAGCCAGCUAACCUUAGCUUAUGUUAAGCCAAAGAUACUCUAACAAAAGAUAACACACUACUGGCUGUGCCAAUAGUACGAGAUGUUACACACUUCCAGUCCCCCAUGUGGACCAUCUCUCUCUUUCCCUAAUUUUGCCACUCGUCGUUUUUAUCUGCUAGCUUAAUGUCUGAUAUCAACCAAGGGUUCGAACCUGUCAGUUGUUGCCUGAUCUCGCAAGAGUAUGCCACUAAAACAGAGGCAUGUCUGGCGCAUUUUCUCCUGAUAUGUCUGUCUGAAAAGCACUAUUUUAGUGUCAGGACGUUAAGAAGGGUUUAGGCUUGUGAAAAAUGGGUUCAGUAUUUACUUCAGUGAUUACUGGGCGAAGGAAACGGUCAUUAUCUGUACUCACGUUCACUUAUCCCAUUGGAAUGAACAGGCUCAGUACUGCUGCUAGUGGGCCAUCUCGGUUUAUCAACGGUCACUUGUUACGGUUAGCCGAUUGGCAACCCAGCUAGGUGUAACUUAGCUACUCUGCAUGGAUCUGUCUUAACUUGUGGCUGAUAAAGUAAUUUGCAAACCCACCCCGGGAAUCUGGAUGAAUUGGCUGACGUUGUCCACUCAGUACAAUAUUUUGUUGCAUUUGCUAGCUAGCAAUUCAUCCCCGUUAGAAAGCAAACUAAAGUUAGCGAACAUUAGCCAGCUAAGACUACAGUGUCAUUUAAUAUGUCAGUGUGUUCUCUGGGAUUUUUUCAUCACCGGCGGGCACUUAAUUUGUUUGAAUUGUUUAUCAGACUACAAAUAAGACAAAAAUUAGCUAGCACAACCCCCUGUCUCUUCGCUUCACUGCCCACCACUCUGAGAUUAUUUCACUCAGAGGAACGUGGACGGCAGCUCCAGACACGGACCUCCAGUCAGCGGUUGUGACAACUCGAAUUCAGCCGGCACAAACCUAAGCGGUGAGCGAAGGUCCGUCUACAGGCUGCCCCUGAAAAACAUAUAGAAACACAGCAUGUGUAGACUGUGUUGUGGUGGGUCCCCGUCGUUUGUUGACGUAAGCGGACGCCAUUUCCAAGCAUACGUUAGCUACUGCUGCUUAUUGUAGUGCUGUAGCGAAGCUAUAGAGAGAUGCAGCACGCUGUUGGGAGAAGUUUACCCAAAGGGCUUUCUGCCAGACAGGCAUUUCUUGGUUAACGUUCAUCACAUCCUCUAGAUUUUCCUGGAAACUUUGGCUAAGGUCCCUUACAUAGAAGUCAGUCCACAUGCUGUUAAAGGCAACCUAGAAAGUCGGGGAAGGUCUGUUUUCAACUUAAAAUCCAGUCAGCCAUUGGAAUUGAAAAACGAUUAAUACAUGUAAGAAGUUACGUACAGAACCUUUCAAACAAUCACUUGGGAAUUUUUUUGCAACUACUAUUUGACAGCGGUCUGAUGCACACACAGACAUACCCUCUGAAAUCACCUUACUGCCUCGCUGUUUCCCUCUUCCCCUCUUCCCCUCUCCCCCUGUGGUUUUUAGUGGUUAAGUGACUUUUGCAUCUCACAGUGUAAUCUCUCUGUGUUGUAUAUACGAACACAUACCAGUUGCAUCCUUUGUAGAAUUAUGUGGUUUGCGAAAUGUCUUGUUUGCCAUGUUUGAGACCGUAUUUUUUAGAGAAGUAUUUUAAUUUUGCCUUUUUUUUUUUUUUUUAGGAAAAGAGAAAAAAAAAAGAAUUAAAAAUCAGCAUGCUUUUUAUUGAGAAUAUGUAAACUAUAAUCAUUAUUAUAAUAAAGAAUGUUUGGCUGACUACUGUGGUUAAAAAGAAAGCAAAGGGUUUGGACAUUUCCCCUUCUUGUUUAUGUUGUUCUUCUCCACUAUCUGUUUCUCCUGUGUAAAAUGACCACCAGACCCAUUUGACUGGGGACCCAGGGGGACACAGGUGUAGAUGCUGGCCCAGCUUUGCUCUCUUUGGUCAGGGUCACCGUGCCACCUGGAACGGCCAGCGUGCAGCCGUGCGUGAGCGUGGUGGCGUGAGCCAUGGGGACGACUUUUAGCGCGACGCCACCGCAGUGGGAACUUGUUCUCUCUCUCCUCACCACCAAGGUAAAUGAAAAACGACAACAACAAAAAACAAAAGCACUGACCUCUCCUCUCCCUCACCUGCCGCCCCCUCCUUUGACUGUGCCUUGACCAAACACUCCUCCCCUUCCUCUCCUCCGCCAUCACCACUUCCCCUCCCCUUUCCCCGCUCCGUAACUCCUCCUCUGCUGCAAUGGCAGUGCCAUCGGUGGGGGGUGGCGGGUGGCGGGUGGGGUUGGGGUGGGGCUAGGAUCCCUUCCACAAGACAGUCCUGUCUCACAUCAGCACACAAUGCGACUGCCCUCUCUGUCCCGCUGGUGUCUGAGUUAGUGAUUAAACGGAAGUGUGAUAGAGUGUAUGUGUUAAACAGAAUGGGAGCAUGGAUGUCUGAAGAACUUUUUGGGUGGUGUCUUAUAGAUUGGUGAGGCUUGGCACAUGCGGACAAACCCUUACCCCUUCCCUGCCCGCUAGUCAACUCCUCUCCACCGCCGUAUUCGCCGCCCUCACCCCUUCUCCCUCCCUCCUUUUACCCUACCCUUCCCCUCCUCCUUCUCACCCUCCACCCUACUGUCCCUAUGCGCCUCUCCUCUCCGCCGUUCACACACACACAGCGCUUUUUUCCGCCGCCACCGCCGUCGCCACCUUGGAUCUGGGUUCGUGGCUCUGGCUCGGACUCAACUUCCCAGAACCACCCACCUGACCCAACAUCCCCACCCUCCUUUGUUACCAUAGAGGCCUGGGCGUGCCAAUGGACAGUGUAUGUGUGGUGGCCCGCCCGCCGGACUCAGUAACAUGACACAGAGAGACUUCAAUGUUGGACAAGACGCUUUGCUAAAACUGUUGAAUGCUGGGUUUGCGCCACAUGGCUGUGUAAGGGAUCCCCAAAAGAACCUAGCUCCAUUACAUCUUAAGUAACCUAAACAAUUUUCUCGCCUUUGGGUCCCUCGCAGCCUGUGUGCCAAUCAGAAACGUCCUAUAAGAUAGGUCUAGGUAUGAGGCCAGUCUGACCUGUAGAUUCUCAAUCUCAGGGUUCCUAUAGGACUUUUCUGGUACGGCAGCUCUGUUCCUCUAAUACUGGGAUCAGCUGGACUGGCUGGAUAUGAGCUCUGACUGUCUUGUAUGUGUUCUUACCUGUUAAGAUUGUCCAUAUGCUGAGAUAGAGAGCAUUAACCCUCACACACGAUCCCACACUCACGGGCUUUCGGUGUGUCAAACCAGUUGAUCGGCAUUUGCUCUGACAGCUGCAGGAUGGAGUCAAAGACAAAGAGGGUGUUACCUUCUGUCUGCCUAACAAACAAAGGGAAGGGGCGAAAGGAGGAAGAGAGGGAUGGAUAGAUGAGUUGAGUGUAAGGUGAGUUGGUAGUGGAGGGAUCCUCUGUCCAAAGCUGCUCCCUAACCUCACCUUCCUGAUCUUGGAGGGCCCGGUAGUUGAUUGCUAUGAUAGAUAUAAUGACCAGAAUCGUAUUCUGAAAAGGUCCUUGUUUACACUGGGCAUCUUAUAUUGUCCGUAGUGUAUCCUUAUAAUGCAGCCUUUACUCUGAGGUGUCCAUUUCUUGGAUACCCUUCAUCUUUGUUUGCUAAAGUGUAGAAUUCCACCAAAACUAAUUGUGCAUUUACAGACAUUGUAUGUGCCCAAGAAAAUAGACAAUAUUUCCAUUCUAGUCAGGAAAAACAGUCCAACUCCAAGCCAGUUUUUAUUAGAAUUAAUGGCUGUCCACACCAAGAACUAUAACUGUAAAUAUAUAGUUUUGGAAAUUGUUCUAACUCAAGUGGAUGACGGAGUCCACACCACCAGCAUGGGCGGAUAUUAAGACAGUGGACCCCUGGGCACAGAUAUGCAAAAGGUCCCACCUCUUUUCCUACAUAGGAGCAAGACACCAGACUUUUUGUCCCUCUUUAAUUCCUUGUUGUUUUGUGUCUCCUUUCGUUAUGCAUCUUUUUGUGGUUCUGUGUCUCUUUGUCGUCGCUACGUGCGUCUUUGAGGGACUCUUGUGUCUAUUUGGUCGUUUCAUGUAUCUCUGUAGUUGUUUCGCCCCUUUUUGUAGUUACUCUGUGUCUCCUUGCAGUUCCUUUGUAUCUCUUUGUGGUCUUUUUUGUGUCGUCUUUUCGUGGUUGGGAAGAGACUUGUCUUUAUUUACAUAUGUGUUAAUUUGGGUGACAUUUUGCAGGUGGAGGCCAAGGGGGUCCCUGACACCUUGGGCCCCUGGGUUUGUGCCUGGUAGGCUUGUUUGUGAGCCCAUCCAUGAGCACAACUAUAACGACAAUGACAGUGGCGAACAAUAUUGUUAAGGGUCGUCCACACCAAGAGCAAUCAGGAUAACGGUAACUGUAAGGGCCCUGACAUACCAAGCUGAUAGUCAGUCAAUGUCAGGUCGUCUGUGAACAUCUGCCACCCGAGUUUUUGUAGUGUGUCCCAUGCUGUUGGCACUUGUCGGCCCUUGUGGGCUGUUUUUCAUCCAAUUCAGCAUGUGGAAUUGGCAUCGAAACUGACGGAGCCAGGUUGUUAGUGAAAUCUAUCUGAUUGGCAGUUAAAGUCAGUGCACAAGAAGAGAAACGGAGGUGAGGAAAGUAAACAAUUGAAGAGGGUAUGAGGUCAAAAGAAUCUUACAUGUUUAGCCAUUGUUCAUGUGCAAUUUUUUGGCCAAGAGAUGGGCAAUGAGAGGCAACAGCCUUUGCCACUUUAUGUUAGUUUGAUGUGUAUGGGCAUGUAUGCAUGUAAGGAUAACAAUAUGAGCAUCCACAUGGAUGGACUUUAACAUUCUGUAAAUGGUGGCGCCAAGCACGUGCUGUGCGCUUCAGAUGUGUCAGCAAUAACUUAAGGUGGAUUAUUAAAUGCUGUCAGUGUUUCUGUCAUUCAACAAAUUGUUCUGGAAGUAAUCCCAACAAUGUCAUUCACCACUGUCGUUGUUGUCAUAGGUGUGGGGUGGACUCCAUCAUCCACUUGAGUUGGAAUGGUAUUUAAAACAAUAUAUUUAUAUAUUGUUAUAGUUAUCGUUCUUGGUGUGGACGGCCCUUUAGAAUGAGUAGAUAAAUGGCCGGCCCUCUUUCUGGCCUCCAUGAUCAGGGCCCGUGGUUCUCCAGUUUUGUUCUCCCCUCCAGCCAGCCCACCCUCCCUACUCUCCAGCUCCUCACUUCAGGCUUCUUCGGGUGCUUGCGAGUCUGGGCUUCCCGUGCUUGGGUGAAUGCAGCCACGCAUCUCUUUAAACCCCCCUGCUCUGAAUUCACAGUCACACUGUACUGACAGCCACAGCUCGCUGCAGCCUCCUCCCCUACUUCCACUUCCUCACCCACUCUCCCGCCUGCCUCCUGCAGUUUGGGCAGCUGAAGAACUAUAGAUGCUCUUUAUUGUGCACACCUCUCUGUAUUGUGUUGUUCUGACGGGAUCCCACAGGUUACAUCUGUCCUCCUGCAGCUGAGAUGUGCAAGUGUGUGCACCUGGAACACACUCCACUCUGGUCUGAGCACAACCCCAUAAACCAUAUUGCCUUUUGAGUUUGCAAGUUGAGAUUUAGUAAAUUUAGCCAAUGUGACCUUGACUAUUUUAACUCUUCUAGCACAGAUGUGAAUUACAGGUAUGUGACUCUACUGCUGCUAAAUACGCUGGCAGAAGAGUCAUACCUCAGCCAUUACCUCAUCUACAGGGGACUGACACAACUUAAACACCUGCAGAAUUUAAUGCACUUCAAUACAGCAUCCCUGCAUUCAUGAAGAAGCUCACUAUGUUUAAUUUCUGUUGAGAAUUUGUAUCAGAAUUUGCAGCUCUUGAUGCUGCAGCGUAUUGUCUUGCAUUACACUGUCAGGUGUUCAUGUUGUUUUGUCCACCCCCUGUCCAUGUAUGUUUAAAAGCCACCAGAGGCCGAGUCAGUAUUUUUCCGUGGUCCAUGUCAUUUUCAAAACUCGCAUAUUAUGUUUACAGUGAUCACCCCAUCCAAUUCCCUCAGCUCAGUAGCACAGUAAUGAACCUAAUGGUAACCACAAAUAGUCACACAGUAGCUAAGCGUCUUCAAGUAGGUUAAUGGACCAAGCUGAGUGUAGUUACAUUUAAAUGCCUGGUUAAUUAUAAUAUACAUUAUUCUAAUUUCCAAAGACACAUCAGGGGUGACGGAAUAGCGUGUCACCUCGAGAGGUUAGUAAUCUGAUCUGUUAAUGUCAAGGAAUCUGUUCCAGCACAAAGUCGAAUGGGAUGAAGGGGGGGGGGAUUUUAGCUGAUGAAUGUUAGAUGAAAUCUUUGCGUCGACAUGUUUACUGUGAAUGACAAAUCCUUAUAUAAAAACAAAUUAUACUGUAAGGUUGUGUAUGCAUAUAUGAAUAUAUACCUUUUGAUCUGUAUUUCUUAAAAUGUACUGAGGCAUUUUUCAGUCUGCAUGCAAUUGAUGAAUAAAUUCAUUUUUUUUUCUCA